rnacentral:rRNA from 1 species
GUCCACGCCCUAAACGAUGUCAACUGGUUGUUGAGAGGGUUCCUUCUCAGUAACGUAGCUAACGCGUGAAGUUGACCGCCUGGGGAGUACGGCCGCAAGGUUGAAACUCAAUGGAAUUGACGGGGACCCGCACAAGCGGUGGAUGAUGUGGUUUAAUUCGACGCAACGCGAAAAACCUUACCUACCCUUGACAUGCCUGGAACCCUGCAGAGAUGCGGGGGUGCUCGAAAGAGAGCCAGGACACAGGUGCUGCAUGGCCGUCGU